AGAGAACAGGGAAAACAGAAGCUUUCACUCGUGGAUGGCCAAAAAGAGGUGCAGCAAAAUCUCCUUUAAAGGUAUCUUCUGGUGAUUCUCUCCAGUUGAUGCUAAUGAUAAUGAUUUUCCUCCAUAUUUUUCCAUAGUGACCAUAUGCCUUUCAUCGUGACCUAUUCAAAUUCCCUUCUGGAUAUUCCUGCUUAAAACAACUUACUCUGAAUGAGCCCAAGUGUUUCACAGUGAGCUGGGGUAUAUAAGUCCAACUGGAGAUUCAAGUUUCUGUUUGCCACUAUGUUAUGCUAAUUUAUGCUUUUCCUUUAAUGUAAACUUCAAGUUAUAAAAGAAAGAGUGGGGAAGAGCAAGGGAAAGGAAGGAGUCAUUCUUACUCCAGUGACAGUUUCUUCCCAUGAGGAAUCAGAGAUAAGAAUAAUGUCAAGGUUUGCAGGUGCAACGCCAUACGAAUAACAGCACAAAAACAACAGCAGGAGAAAGCUUAAAAAUAAUGAAGCAGCUUUGGUGAAAGUUUACAGACCUGCAAGCAGAAGAAGACAGGCUACAGUACUGCAGAGAAAAGGACCUGAGCAAUACAAGGUGAAGCCAUUCUGCAACAGCUUGGUGUCUGCUCUUCUCUCUCCACUUCAGCUGUGUUCUCACAUGCUGCAGCACCUCUGCAAGAAACAGAACCUCAACUCCUGCCUUGAUGCCUUGCAGCGCUGUCACCACCGUUUGUGUCUCCAAAGUCACAUCUGUGCCCUCACUCAGUGUGCCUCUUCUGAAACCGCACAUGAGAAGAUGCUUGCAAAACAAAUGAGUGAGACAGCUAAAUGAGAUCCCACCCUAUGAAAUUGCUGGAAUAGUGUUCACUGGAAGAUUGGUGAACACUCCUUAUCUGUGCAAAUGCUCAUUUGAAGAAGUCUCAAAAACUGCAGGAUUGCUCGUCAGAGUCAAUUAAGGCAGGAUGACCCAGCCAGUCCUGUUCCAGAAGGAAAGAUGAGGAUGUGUUUGUGCUGGAGUUCAUUCUUCUUUCUUUGGCCCAUCUUCUCCAGCUGUUCUUGUAGUGAUGUGUAUGUGACUGCCAUCAUGGUUCAGAGUACCUCCAAUUCAGUCUAAAUCGGCUUCAGCCUUCAUGAGAGGUAGCCAGAAUUGUUUGUGCUGCAUUAUUUAAAAACCGGAAAUUGUAUCCUUGUGGUCAAAUCCAUCAUGCUAUUCUAAGAAAGGGUCCUAGAAAUGACAGGUUCACUCCCCCAUGUGAGUAGAACUUCUUAGGACAUACCUGAAGGAUCUCUUGAGUGCUGAAAUUUGGGUGAUUUCCAUCCAACUACUAGGAAGUAUGGUUUUGGUAUGUGCAGUGGUUACUUUGGAAGACAAAUGCGUUAAUAAUGAUUGAGUCCCCCCACCACCUCCCUCCUUUUUCCUAGCUUGUAUUGCUGAGCAGAAAUAUGGCAUGGAAUAUCCCUUUGGCCAGUUUGGAUCAGCUGUCCUGACUAUGUUCCCUCCCAGCCUCUUGCCUACUCCCAGGUUACAUGCUUGGGAGCCAGUGUGGUUGGAUUGUCAUCUUGGUGCUGUGGGAUCACUGCCCAGGAGUAGCCAAAAUGUUGGUGUGCUAUUUUCUUCAGGAUGAGACGAACCUUGGUCUGAGACUGCCUGAUGUGGACUGCAACAAAGAAGAUUGAUCCACUGAAUAGAUCAAACUUCUGGAUCACUAAUGGAUUUACCUUCCAAAUAUUCUUGAAGGUUAGGUAAAUACUAAAUAUCUUCAGUUCAGAAGGGAAAGAAGAAUGAGGAAAGAUUAGUAGUUUACUUUUCCAUGGCAUUAAGCACCCACUUUUAAAGACACAGUCAAUAGAAACAACACCUCUCAGCACUUCUGAAAAUUGAAUGAUAAUGGUCUUAAUUAAGUCACCCAGUAAGUCAGUAUCAGCGCUAAGAAUACAGCUGAGGUUCUGUGACUGUUUGAUUGCAAACAUAAAACUUUCUUUUUUUAGUCAGCCAUCAGAAAUGAGCAUCGCUUCCAACAAUUUUAAUGCUUAUGACUAUCAGAUUAAGUAUAAGUAUGCAGUGUAAGACUGUCUGCAGGAUUUUUUUGUAGGACAACCUGUGAUUUAAGUCAAUUGGCUGGUUUAUGGAGUACUAAAUGUCAGAGAGCAGUCAUCUUGUCCUACCCUAGGGAGCUAAGAGAUCUUGGAAAAGUCCAGGGAAAUCAGAUGAAGGCACACAUCCCAGAUGUAGGUAGUCAGUACUUUAUCUUCCAGUAAGCAUUCAUGUUUCAACCCCUUAGUGUUAUACUGAAUGGCAGGAUCAUCCAUUUCUUGAUGUUACAGCAAAUUACAUUUUUUUCCCCAUUGUCCUGUAAAUCAGAACAUCCAUUUCCAUACUUUAGGUAUUUUUAAUGCCGGGCCAAGUCAAUAGUCAGAAUUAAUUGGCUCUCUCAGACCCAAAACCAAGCUCCUAGUUAAUUUUAAUGGGAGCUUUUUCUGCGUCAGAAUUGCCACUUUAUUAUUCUUCAUUAUUUUACUGCAGUGAUGCUGAGCAACCACAGCUGUGUUCCCUUAACCCUGCACCUCUAGAAAGUCCAAAAAUAAAUAUUAGCUGCAGAGUAUCCCUAGUUUUAAGGUAAGACGCAGCUCAUCUAUGCUGAGCAACUAUACACACAGUAACUGAACAGCAGUACAAAAUGUCCCAUAGUCAAUGGACAGAAAAACACAGUCCCUGGGUGUAACUACAGUCUGAAGAAGCUUGCUGAGCUCCUUGCUUAUGCUUCCCAGUUGUGAAAAUAAAGUAAGGACAGAUGAAUUUGGGACUAAGUCCUCAAUGACUUGCAAGCUCGGUGUUGGAGUUGAAAAUGUGCUCAAUAACCCUAAAGUCAUUAUCAUCCCAGGGAAGUUGAUUGUCAUUGUCUUAAAUUGCAACCAAGAGCCAGUACUAAGCAUUGUGCAUUAUCCCCUGUGCACUGUACAUGAUUAUAUAAAUUUGUAUGUGUAAUGAUGCAUUUUUAUGACAUAUAUAUAUUUCUGAAUGUGACAAAGUGCUUCGUGCUGAGAUCUGAGUGCUGGUGUGCCAAAUGAAAAAGCACUUAAUGGCCUGAUUACAAUAUAGUUAAGAACUGGUACAAUUCUUCACAGAAUCUAUUCAUCAUCAGGAUGGGAGGGAGGCAGGGUGGGUUUAGCCCUUCCUAAUUUCUGUCAGUAGGAAUGGGGUUGGUUUCCACAUUAGGGAACCUAAAUGUAGGUAUCUGUAUGCAUGCUUUGUGCUUAGGAUUCCCUUAGAGUCAAAGAAGAAAGCUAAUUCAGAGGUGAAUUCAGUUGUCUAAAUGCUAAGAACUACUAUUAUUUGUGAUAAAGUAUGUGAGGUGAUGGCCCACAUAAGAAGACAUAGGAAUUACUGCACACCCAUGCCCUUCAGAAGCAGGAGAUGCCAGAUAGGUUGCAGUAUCCUGACCAGCAAUUUUUGUGAGUGUUAGAUGUUCAGUUCCUGUAGUGGGAGCCUAGACACCCAUCUCAAAACAUGGACUUCUACAUAGGUGUCUCUAAAUAUGUAUUUUCAACAGAAUCUUAGGCUAGGGCCUUAAUCUUCUAAAUUUCUACAUCUGGGCUAGAUAUCUACACUUGCCCUUGCAAACAUAAGUUAAUACACAGUCAAAGGAAAUAAAGGCACUUUUGGGUGUUGUUUGUCUAGAAUUUUUUUUCCACAUAAGAUUUUGAGAAAGGACUGUACUCUGAAAUACCAAUUUCUCACCAUUCUCUCUAAAGGGGAUCUAAUUUGACCACAAACAAAGACACCUCCAUUUAUAAGUUGCUACAUUUGAUCAAAACAACAGCACAGAUAGCAAAAAAUAUAUUGAAAUGGAAAUGCAUUUUCAAAACAUGAACAGCAAUUAACUUGGUGGCAGAAGGAUUAGAACAAUUUGUGAAGAAAUUCUUUCUGAGCCGGCGGACCUGAAGGCUGUAAAUCUGAAUGGAACUGUGAGACCUGCUAGAAGACACAAAGUUGUAUGAGUUCUCUAAUCACAUCAUCAUCUCAGAAGACAAAGACAAGGACAAAGGUCAUGCCCACUUAUCUGAUCACCAGCUAUGCAGUUUUGUUAAGAACACACUGAAAGUGGGAAGCACACAAAUCUAAGCUUAUGUGCUGAUGUAAAUAAGAUGCAGCUGUGAGCUGGAUUUUAUUUCCUUGUAUCUCUUUCUAAAAGAUUACAUGUAUUUUAUCACUGCAGUACAGAAGUUAUUCCUACUAGUCCCAGAGAGUAGAAAUUUUUUACUGUGUUCCCUAUUGAAAGUCAGGCUUAAGAUAGAGCUUUAAACAUGAAACAGCUUUAUGAUAGGCAGAAUCAUGCUAAGAUACUCAGAGAAUGCACCAUGGAUGUAUAUUUGUUUAGACUUUUGUUUUGGAGUUCUUUCUUUGUAUUCCCUUCUACAAGUUUUCUGUCAUCAGUGGACCAAAGCAAGCACCUAAUUAUUACACUGAUUUGAUUUUGUUCCUCAGAACAACUUCAGUUUUAUUAGAUGCUUUAAAAAGGGUAACAGUAAUAAAUACCCUAUAUGUUUUUUUUCUGUAAAUAAGUAAACCGAUAUGCUUUCAAAAAUAUUUUAAUGAAAACAGCAAACUCUACCCAGAUUAAUAAUGUGAAAUAGAACAAAAUAGAAAAAUAGAAUUGAAAGACAUUACUAUCUGAGUAUUUUUCUCACAGGACAGGACAUAGUUUCUGGAAAUUCCAGACUCCUGGUUUGGAUGUGCAAACUGGAAGGCACAAGCAGAGGGAGUUGCCCCCAGACAUUUUUUCAUGGUCAAUAACUGUGUGGCUCCAUCUUGCUUUUAUGAGUGUAUGAAUGUAUCAUCUGUCCAGUGAAAAUUCAGAUGAUCCUUAGUUUGUGAAAGAGGGGUAAGAAUUGUGCUGACAUCCCUUAAUAUUCUCCUUUGUUUUUUACUACCAAAACAUACACUAAAAAACCCCAAACAAAUACACACAACCCCCCACACCCCAAACAAGCAAGCAAACAAAACCAAACAAAACCCCUGUAGUCUGCUUUAAAAGAUUCAGACAUUUUUCAUCCUAGCACCAACUUUCAUGCAAUAUUCCAAUCUGCCAGGCUCACGAGCAGCAGCAGCCCUGCUGUAGCACAGCACAUACCAAAACAAAUGUAGAGAUCAAGGCAUCUUCACAGCCAUGACAAUUAGCACUCUUGCAACACAACCAGCAAAACACAUAGUUCAUACACUUUUACUCUAGAACUUGCUAAAUGUCAUGCAGUGCACAAAAUGUCCUCCUGAAAAUGGGAGGGUGACACUAACAACCACUGUACAUCAGAAAGAACACACACUGGGAACUGGUGAAGGAGAGAAACCUGCAGUGGAAAAGCAUUGCACUUCCUAAUGCAUCAGAAUUCUAAAGAAUGACUUCUUAAAGAAAGACUAGAAAAGGAAUUAAUAACAACAGGAUUAUUAGAAUUAUGGUUUCAGCAGCAACACCAGUUCUGGAGUUCAUUGAGGUCUUUUUUUUCCUGCCCACAUUCUAUUGCACAAUCACUAAUCAUGUUUUCUUCUUGCUGUCGCUGUUCUCUCUUCCCUUGCCAAUCCCCCAAAGCUACUAAGCAUCCUUCUUUGUGUAACUGAUUAACUUAAUGAGGCUGGACUAACAGCACUUAUAUGCUGUCUGUCUUGGAUUUUAUUCCUUUUUAUCAUAUUGGAUGAAGGCCAUCCACUUUCCCAGCUAACUCACCUGGGGCUGAAAAAAGAUGAAGCUUCUCCUAAAAAACUUGUUUCUACGAAAUAAUUUUUCAUCUCAUGACAAUGCACUCUACUUGCUGUUUAAAUAGAGUUACUUUCUCUUAAACCAGUAUUCAGUGUAGUCAGUGCUGAAGGCAGAAAUCUCACUGUAGUUCCAGCUGUGUCUGCAAAGUGACUUCAGGGAAUAUGACCUUCAGGAGACAGCUUGUUUCCUGAGAAUUAAUGAAAUUUUUCUAUAGCUGCAGAAUUGAAAUCAUGUCCUGCAAGAGCUGAUUGUCCCUGCAGAGUGAAAUGCAACUGGGUUAUUCUGAAGGCAAUAUCUGGAUGUUUCCUGUGCUGAACUGUGCAGAGGAGUGUUAGAAUCAUGGUUAGAGUUUUAAUGGGAUUAGAAAGGAGCAGUGUCUGCAAAAUUCCCUGACCACCCAGCCAGCACGGGUAGCUGAGGCUAGCAAGGGAUGUCAAGAAUUUGCUAUUUAAUUUCACUGGGGCUCUGUGCACCUGAAUUCAAGUCACUAUUCUGCCAUGCCUGUGAGAAGUUUAAGGUGAUAUUCAACAAAUCAUUUAGCACUGAGGAUCCCAAGUAUAAAAACUGAUUUUUUGACUUUCACUGACAUUCUGGUAAUCUAAUGAGGCAGUCUGUCAAAAGCAAGCAAUCCCUGGCCACAGUGUGAUGGCACUGAGUGGCUUAUGUCUACCUUUUUCAAGAUUUUGGCCUGUAGACAGAUUUGCCAUGGCUGGACUAUUUAGGGACGGUUUGACAUCUCUUUAGAGCCUUUAAGUCUUAGAAGUUUUCUAUUUGCUUGUUUGCUUGAAUUGCAAGUGCCUAAUUUGCUGCAGUAAAGUGUUUCCAUAACCCUACAGGCACAAGUAUUGCUUCAGCUGAGAUUGGAGAAUGUAGAGAUUUUGAAGGAAACAAAGCCUGCUGGCUCCCUUGGGAGAGAAGGCUGCAUGGGAAUUUAGGAGUCAAACAAAGGCCCCAAAGUACAGGAAUACUUGAACAGAUAUCUUGAAAAAAUUAGGAACAAUGAAAAUGACAGAGUUCAAACAUGUAAUUGUUUAAUCGUCCAUCUGUGGAAUGGCAUAACUGCACUUUUGGAUCUUUAGGUAUACAUAAGAGUCCUGUAGUGAUACCACUACUUAAGCACUAUGGCUUCUUUAUAGGAAUAAAAAAAAAGUCAGGAUAAUCAAAAUUCAGUAUUGAGUAGUACCUGUAAGGUCUCAAGAAUUGAGUCAUAUUUUCUCGCUAAUGUUGAGAUAGGUAAAACAGCAUUAAAAAUUCAGAGUAUUCUCACUGCCACCAAGCCAAAUGUGACUGCAUUAAAUUUCAGAUGUUUCUGAACUCUCUAGUGAUGCAGUCUUAGGUCUUUGAUCAUUGCUUUGAUUCAAAGGACAUUAGGUGCUGCUUUUCCACGCAAAUCCUCUGUAUCUAUAAGCUUCCAAAAUGGGAAAAAUCUGAGUAGGAGGAAGAAAUUUUCAGGAAAAAAAAAUUCCUAUGGCUCUUGUUGCUUGGCAACCACUGCUUUGCCUCUGUGUUAAGAAAAAUAGCUUCCUUUGGAGUUCAAGUCUCAAGCCUGGCUUGAACUAGAAACAAGAGGAAAAUAAGAGAAAAGCAUGCUGUAGGCUAGGUUUUUCAGUAAUUACACUGUUUGCCCAUGCCAUUCAGCCAAAGGAAGCAGGGAAAGAAGUUAACAAGGAGUAAGGAAACAUGACCCUUCCUGUUGGUCAUAGGAACUAUUAUUUACUGAGUCCUUAAAAUGAUGCAAAAACAUAGGAGAUACCUUGUGGUGAGAGACUAAAAGAUCUCAGCCUAUUUCAUACAUCAGAAAGAAGAUGGUAGAGUCACUUCACUGUAUAAGUAAAUUAAUGGAGGAAAUGUCUUGUAUAAAAUUGCUUUUUUGUCUAGGACACAAAGUUAAAUGAAAACCAGUUCUAUGCCAGAAGAAAGGAGGCAUAUUUAUGUUCAAAUGAAGUCUCACAUUUUUAACAAUGACAGCAAUUAAGCACAAAAACAAACUGUCUGGGGAAUCUUGUAUUUAUCACUUGAAGUCUUCAGGUUGAGAUGGAUGCUGUUUGGAAAACACACCUUAGCCAAAUAGAUUAAAUACAAGGGAAACAAGCUGUAAGGAAAUGUUAUGUGAUACACAGCAUAUCAAUUAUAAUACAUUUAUCUUGAGACUAAAAGAGAUGAUCAGAAAUUUUUCCUCAGUUAUGGUGUGAAGGAAGUGAUUUUCCUCUCUAGCACCUGGGGCAGCCUGACACGAUGGCUUCACCUCUGAAAAAUGAGGAGUGACACACUGAGAGCUUAGGGGCUAAUGUCAUACAGGAGAAUAUUACACUUAGGCAGGUAAUGAAGUGACUGUUGGUACCGCUCCAAGUUCCUAGGAUGAUUUAAAUUCCAUUAGAAAAUGAGAUAUAGAUCUGUAAAUUUUAUCCCCUUUCUGUUUUACUCCUACAAACACAUAGUUUUAUGUGGGAGCUACUUUAAUUUUCAUCCCUAUGAAGACAGCUGGAUGUCCAAAAAUAUGAGGUACAGACAGAAGAGAAAGAAACUUAGAUUAAGUUUUCUUCCUCAGAUUCCCCCAGCAAAUAGUGUCUCCUUGUUUAAGAGUGGAAUUGUCCUCAAUUUUCAUAGCUGGUGAGGGACAGAAAUUGUGCUAUUAAUUUGACAGCCCAAGCUGUUCUGCAAGAGCACCUAGAAGCAUGGAAUACAAAUACAAGAUGUGUCACUGUUGCAUACAGGUAUGGAUAUUAUAAAAGAAAGGCCUUAUAAAAUCAGGCCUUGCUCUGCUAAAUUACCAGCUGGCCUGUUACAUCUACUAACUUCCCAUAUGAAAAAAUAUAACAAUGAAAGGAGUUAGCACAGCAAGCUAUUCUGCUAAGGAAACCAUUUGCAUGUAAUAAACAAGAAAUCUGUCCCAUGAGAAUGCACAAAGGAAAAAUGUAAACACUUAAGUAAAAGAGAGAGUCUUAGCAUGUACAUACAAAACCACCUUGAAUUGAACACUUUGAUUCUAACCAAUGAAUUUUGCGGCAAGAAAGCUACCAGCCAAUUGGAGUUGAACAUGGUCUGUGAAAAGUGUAUAUAAAUGAGUUAUCUGAAUUAAAAAUUGGCUUUUCCUGCAUGAAGAAAUUGAGUCCUGGCUGCUUUAUUGUAACACGUCACUACACUAUCUAUGAAGAGAAUUAACUCCAGCUCAGCCAAAACCAGCGAACAUACAUAGGCUUCUCUUGCGAAGAGACAACAUGUAGCUUUAAUUUUGAGAGUGUCACAUGAGACUACUAACUCAUAUGAUGAGGUAUGCUUAAUGAAGUUAGAUGAAGAGUUCAUUUAAUAAAGUUCUAGCAAAAAAGAGGAAGAAUAAAGUUGAUUCCACUGAUGCAUGAUGACCUGGGAG